rnacentral:rRNA from 1 species
UGGGGAAUAUUGGACAAUGGGCGAAAGCCUGAUCCAGCAAUGCCGCGUGAGUGAUGAAGGCCUUAGGGUUGUAAAGCUCUUUUACCAGGGACGAUAAUGACGGUACCUGGAGAAUAAGCCCCGGCAAACUUCGUGCCAGCAGCUGCGGUAAUACGGAGGGUGCAAGCAUUGAUCGGAAUUACUGGGCGUAAAGGGCGCGUAGGCGGCUCGAUAAGUCGGAUGUGAAAUUCCGGGGCUCAACCCCGGAGCGGCAUUUGAAACUGUCGAACUAGAGUACAGUUAGGGUAAACGGAAUUCCACGUGUAGCGGUGAAAUGCGUAGAUAUGUGGAAGAACACCGGUGGUGAAGACGGUUUACUGGGCUGUAACUGACGCUGAGGCGCGAAAGCAUGGGGAGCAAACAGGAUUAGAUACCCAAGUAGUCCCUGAGCGGGCUGGCAAGGCGCAU